CGAGUUUGAUCCUGGCUCAGGAUGAACGCUAGCGGCAGGCUUAAUACAUGCAAGUCAAGGGGGUAGCAAUACAACCGGCGCACGGGUGAGUAACGCGUACACAACAUACCAUAUACUGGAGUAUAGCUUUGGGAAACUGAAGGUAAUCCUCCAUAACAUUGCGAGAGGGCAUCUGAUUGCAAUUAAAGUUCCGACGGUAUAUGAUUGGUGUGCGUUUGAUUAGCUAGUUGGUAGGGUAACGGCCUACCAAGGCGACGAUCAAUAGCUGGCGUGAGAGCGCGACCAGCCACACUGGAACUGAGACACGGUCCAGACUCCUACGGGAGGCAGCAGUAGGGAAUAUUGGACAAUGGGCGAAAGCCUGAUCCAGCCAUGCCGCGUGAUAGAUGAAGGCCCUCUGGGUUGUAAAUAUCUUUUAUCUGGGAAGAAACUCCUCUAUUCUUAGAGGCCUGACGGUACCAGAGGAAUAAGCACCGGCUAACUCCGUG
rnacentral:rRNA from 1 species